rnacentral:lncRNA from 1 species
AAAAGGAUGGCUACACACAGAGCAGCUUUUGUAUAGCUAUACCAUUUAUCUUGGACCUGGCAAUUGAGACUAAAGAAAGGUGUUAUCAGACAAAAGUAGUGCUUUGGGAAGUAGGAAGAAGACACCUUGGGUGCAAAAAAAUGCCAUGAAGAAUUGAAAUGGUUGAAGCUCAUAUUAGAGUACUUGUUUCAGACAUCUGUCUUGCUCUUCAGCCCCUACUUUUACCAAGAGAGAGGAGGAAAAGUCUAGAGAGCAAACAGACUCAAGAAAACAAACCUGAGCUUGGGACAAAAACAAUCUUACAGUAUUGAUAAAGCUCAAGCAUUGAGAAAGAAAAGCAAAAAGAGGCCUAUCUGUAACACAAGAGUGAAAGGAGGAGGAUGACUGGAGUUUCACAGCUGCUUUAAUACAACUGGUUUCACUUAGAGAAGAUGACAUGUUGAAAUGUGAUGAGUAAAGAUGUGCAGAAUGCUUCCCCAGUAAUUGGAAUUCAAGCAACAAUAACACUGGGCAUUGUUGGAUCCUUUACAACUUUAAGAAAAAGGUCUCCUUCCUUCAUUUUGGAAAAAAGCGCACAUAUUAUAGAACAUCAUGACUUUAUUCAACAUUAAAAAGAGAAAUUAAAAAUUAUUU